rnacentral:misc_RNA from 1 species
UUAUCCCAUGAAUAAAAACGGAGCAGCACCGCUGCAACGAGUAAACAGACCUCACCACAUCGAACCGCGCUGGCUUUUGCAACACAUCCUUUAGUUAAGGCACUAGACGUCGCUUAUCGUUCUUUCAUUCUUUGCCCUCGGCGUUCCCGGGAUGGCGCUGCGUCCCCGCGGCCCUCGUACUCCACGCGGCUACUCCCCUCUCCGACUUCUUACUUCUCCCCUUUCCUACAGUCCCUCGCCAAAUCAAAGCGAUGACCGAGUACACCGUGCCCUCGCUGCGCGCGGAACUCCUCUCCCAUCCCUCUUUCUCUCGACGAGCAGAUGUUCCCCGCACUGCCUCCUCACCGACGGCUGCACCACCUUUCCCACCAGGUGAGUUCACGGCGGGGGGGAACGGCUGCUGCCGUCCCGGACCCACACACGCGCAAAAGCUACGCAAAGUAGCAGCGGCGCCGAAGUAAUAAAAGCGCAAAGUUGCUCGCAAAUAAAAGAAGAGACGGACAGGCUCUUCCUCUCUCAGUCCUCUCCCGGUUCUCCUCUCCGCAGAGAGCCGUCCUCGUAGAUAGCAGCCGCACUGGUGGACCGGCCUGCCAUUGUCAGUGGCAGCGUUGCAGCGGUCCGGUCUGAGCUCCUCUUUUUUCGGCGAGGCAUCGUCGCCCUCCUCCGUCUCGUCGCCGUCGUCUGCUCUUUCGUCCGGUUGUUCGCCGCCCCGUGUGAUGCGUGCCCGUGGAUAGCGCGUCGCCCCCUUCUGGAUGCCCCACCAGGGGCCAACUCGUCGUGCGAUGUCGCCCACACCGGCUUGGCCCAUGCGGCACUUCACAUUCUCGGCCGUGGCGUAAGCCGGAGAGCCAUGGCACGAUGUCGACACGGGCCUGGUCCAGGUUAACACCGCUGGUCGCAUUCCUGGCCGCAUGCAUCGUCAGCACGCAAGGAGGGAGCAACACAUUUCCAAGGUUUUCCUUGGGCGGCAUCAGCGAGAUCGUAGUCAGGAUCAAAGAAGGACCGGGCAGCCUAGGCCAGCCGCUGUACCGGCUUCGGGGCGAAGAUGCGGACGGCGACACACUCACGUUCGGGGCGCAGGGUCCCGAGGGGCCCGAAAUCCUGCGCUUCGAACGGGUCAGCGCCACCGAAGCCGACGUCUUCCUGCGACACGAGCUGGACAGAGAGGUGAAGGACUCGCACACCAUAGUCCUCACUCUCACAGACGGGCGCUUGCCCGAAGGCCAAUACAUCACACAGACAAUGUUAAUAAUCGUCGAUGACGUCAAUGACAAUGAGCCAGUAUUCAAGCAGUACAGAAGUACCAUCACAGUUCCAGAGGACGCCUCCCCACAUGUCAUUGAUACAGUUGAAGCCAUCGACCGCGACCAAGGUCCUUUCGGCCAAGUUAUUUAUCAGCUACAAAACACGGACCCGGAAACGACGUCCACAUUCUCAGUGCACCAGGAUAAAGGAAAAGGCAUCAUCUCGCUUACCGGACCACUCGACUACGAGCGCAAGUUCAUCUACGAACUUCGUGUGCUUGCCAUUGAUCGUGCCAACGCGGGUCCUCGCCACACGGCCACCGCCGUGGUGCUCGUCAAGGUGGACGACGUGGAAGAUCAGCCUCCCAUCUUCACCCAGGUGCCUCCGGUGACCAGGAUAUCUGAGGAUCUGCCACUGAACUCUGUCGUGCUCACGGUGAAGGCGAUGGACGGUGACCGUGGGGUGAACAACGCUAUUCACUACAGCAUCGUUUCAGGUGGCAACGAUUUGUUUGCUAUCGACCGUGAAACGGGCGUCGUGUCAGUCAAAGGACGCCUCGACAGGGAGGCGACCGAAAACAGGAACGGAGCCUUCAUUCUACUUGUUCAGGCGCAAGAGGUGUCCGGAAAGGUGAGGCCGGCGCCGAGCACGCGCACCGAGGUAACAGUGCUGCUGACAGACGUGAACGACGAGGAGCCGGCGUUCCGCAGCCGGCGCUACAUCGCCGAAAUCAACGAGAAUGCGCAGAUCAACGUGCCCGUCAACUUUGUCGGAGAGAGCGUGCCGGAGGUCUUCGACCACGAUCAGGGUAGCAACGGCACUUUCCAAUUGUUCCUUCAAGAAGACAAUGGCGUCUUUGACGUCACGCCUGCCAUCGGCGUCAACGAGGCUUCCUUCAUGAUCCGUGUUAAAAACCCCGAUUACUUGGACUACGAGCGAGUCAAGGUCAUGAACUUCAAGAUCGUGGCGCGGGAGAUGGUGUCCAACCAGCCCAAGACGUCGACGGCCGACGUGACGGUGCACAUAAAGGACGCCAACGACAACUUUCCGGUGUUCCGCGAGGACUUGUACCGGGCAACCAUCCCCGAAAACGCGGCCGCUGGAACUGUGGUCGCCGUUGUCAGGGCUGAAGAUGCGGACUCGGAAAUUUACGGCACCGCUGGGAUCCGUUACACCAGUAUCCGGGGUCAAAUAGCCGACAAGCUGCGGCUGGACCCCGAGACGGGCAAGGUGGUGGUGGCCACGUCGGCGCACGGCCUGGACCGCGAGACUGCGCCCGAGCACUUCCUCACGGUGGAGGCGCGCGACGAGAACGGCCGCGGAAACCGCAACACCGUCCAACUACAUCUGGUGCUCGAGGACAUCAACGACAACGCGCCGGCCUUUGUGCUGCCUUCCUACGAGGCCCGCAUACGCGAGAACGCGCUGGACUUCCGCACUCCGCUCGUCGUCAUGGCCGUAGACGCCGACCAAGCUGGCGGACCCAACAGUCAGGUCCGCUACCAAAUAGUGCACGGGGACCCUGACAACAACUUCACCAUCGACGAGGUCAAGGGCCGCAUCAAGCCUAGGUUGCCGCUGGACUUCGAGCGGAUCGCGCAACCCAGGGGUGAUGUCCGAACGUUUAACCUUCUCGUUCGCGCCUACGACAUGGGCAGACCGUCGCUCUCGAGCAACGUCACUGUAGUCGUCUACGUGCAAGACGUCAACGACCACGCGCCCGAGUUCCCCACAGACUUCGUGUCCAAGGCCAUUCCAGAAGACAUCCAGGAAGGCACAGCCGUGGUCCGGGUGCUCGCUGAGGACCGCGAUCACUCGCCCAGUAACAGCAAGGUUGUCUACCGAAUUCAGAAUGGCGCACAGGAUAAGUUCGUCAUCGACGCCCUGACAGGUGUCAUCUCUGUGGCGCCCGGUGCCAACAUGGACCCGGAUAGGACGUUUCCGAAGUCAAUACUCUACAGCCUUCAGAUCCUGGCUCUCGACGGUGGCCUCGGGGAGCAGCAGAAGUCUUCGAUGGUUACCGUCAACAUCUCCAUCAUCGACGUCAACAACAAGGCACCCAGGUUCGAGGAACCUGGCGCCGUGAACCUAGUGGAGAACAGCGUUCCGGGUCAUACUGUGGCCGUGGUUCGCGCCACCGACCAGGACGAUCGGCCCAUGCUCAGGUACUCGUUGUGUCAUGGAACUGCCAGCGAGGCACGGAACGAAGAUGGCGGCCUCGUAAGCGAAUUCGAUGCUGAGCAGAGCUUCGAGAUCAACAACAUCGAAGGAAAAGUCAUGGUCAAGUCUAACAUUGACCGGGAGGUGACGGAGUCCAUAAAGCUGUGCGUCAAAGUCGAGGACAUGGCCGCGGCAACACCUGGGCAAACGGCGACAGCAACACUUACUGUCAACGUAGUCGACGUCAACGACAACAGACCAAGCUUCAAGAAAUCUUUCUACCGCCAAACAGUCACUGAAAACUCAAUGGUUGGCGCACCAAUCGUCACCGCCAGAGCGAUAGAUGCAGACAAGAACAGGACGGUAUAUUAUUCCUUGGAAGGGAGGAUGGAAUACCUCGCACUAAUAGGAAUUGACCGCAAAACAGGCGAGGUGACCGUGGCAGACAAGAUCGACCGUGAGGCAUAUGGCUGGAUAAACGUGACGCUCAAGGCGACCGACUCGGGCGUGCCCCCAUUGUCCGGAGCCACCGAGCUACAGAUACAGGUGCUGGAUGAGAACGACAACAACCCCAUCUUCCGGCCUGGCCCCUCCGAGUUUGCUGUCUCGGAGGACGCCCCUGUGGGUUCCUCAGUGGCAGCCGUGCAGGCGGUAGACGCCGACGUCGGCGAGUACGGCCGCAUCACAUACGCCUUGGACGCUGCCGGCACCGACGGAAAGUUCAAGAUUGACCGAGACACGGGUGUGAUUACGGUUACUAUGCCUUUGGACCGAGAAGAAACUUCUUCAUACUCGCUGAUCGUUCAAGCAUGGGACAACUACGAAGCCGGAUUUGGGACGGACGAGAGCAGGAGAACAUUUAAGCAGAUUAGUAUACGUGUACUGGACGUGAACGACGAGGCACCAGUGUUCGUGCGCCAGACGCAUUGUGCCGAGGUCACGGAGUUCAUUCGCAUUCACGAAACGGUGUUCCUGGCUUCAGCCAUGGACGCUGACGACCCGACGACGCCGAACGCCAGGAUAGUGUUCACCAUUCAGGCCGGAUACGAAGCCGAUCUGUUCGAGGUGGAGUCCCUGCCAGACAACACAGCCCGUGUGUCGACGCGCUUCUCGCUCCGGGGUCGUGUGGGCAACGCAACCGUGGUGCUGCGGGCGCAGGACCAGGGCCUGCCGCCGCGCUCAUCGGUGCAGAUGUUCAGCGUCUGCGUAUCCGACGUCAACGACCACAGCCCGGUGUUCGUCAGGCCGCCGCAGAACCACACCAUUCGGAUUCCCGAGAAUGCGACCCUGGGCACUGUGGUGGUGGAAGUGGGCGCGGAGGACAGCGAUUUCGGGGCGAACGCUGAGGUGCGCUACCGGCUGAAGGACCUACCCAACGGCCACUGGAAGACAUUCCGGCUCGACGAGCGCACCGGUGUCAUUACACUGAGACAGACACUGGACCGCGAGACGCAGAAGGUGUACGAGCUCCGUGUUGAAGCCUACGAUUUGGGACAGCCGACGUCUUUAUCGAGUGACCUGGACCUGACUGUGUUCGUGACCGAUGUCAACGACUAUGCACCGGAAUUCACUGAAGAUGUCCACCAGCUCACAUUCACAGAGAAUUUGAAGCCAGGAGUGGAAACGUACAAACUAAUCAGCACGAUCGACAGAGACGAUGACCUUAGCAUCCUGAAGCCAAUACCGUGCUACUACAUAGUCGGGGGAAAUGAGAAAGGCCGCUUUGUGCUGGACAUCUUCACGCACCAGCUGUCCGCCACAGAGCCGCUCGACAGAGAGGAACAGGCCAACUACACGCUGGUGGUGCGCGCUUCGGACGACUGCUUCCACGAGCCACGACCAGUGAGCCGCUUCGACCCCAAAGACAACACGCUCCUUCAGGUCGAGAUCACCGUGCUAGACGUCAAUGACAACCCGCCGAGGUUCGUGAGCCGUAUGUUCACCGGCGGAGUCACCAUGGAGGCAGACUUUGGUGUCGUCUUCAUGACCGUCAAGGCCAUUGAUCGUGACGAAGGCAUCAACAGUCUGGUGAGCUACUACAUCGGCGGGGAAAUCCGGCGGACACUUUCCGAGGGGCUCGAAUCCUUGACGGGGCCGCCGUUCCUCAUCAACCACCGCACUGGAGACUUGAGCCUGAACUUUUACCCGCAAAAGGGCAUGAAGGGAUACUUCGACUUUGAAGUCAUCGCUAACGACACUGAGGGCUUCUAUGACACUGCCAGCGUGUUUAUCUACCUCCUACGUGAAGACCAGCGGGUGCGUUUCGUUCUUCGACUGACGCCAGAAGAGUUCCGUGAGAAAAUGGAAGAGUUUCGAGAGGUACUUGCCAACAUUACUGGGGCCAUUGUAAAUAUUGACGACUACAAGGUUCAUGAAAAUGAAGACGGCUCUGUAGACCGAAAAAAGAGUGACCUCUACUUGCAUUUCGUAAAUCGGGACGACAAUUCGAUUAUGGAGGUGUCCAACGUUCUCACAUUAAUAGACAAGAAUAUUGAGUUCCUGGAUAAGCUCUUCAAAGAGUUCAACGUGCUGUAUAGCGAACCGGCGGACGCCCUGAGCGACGCCGAACGGGAGGAGGACCAGAUGCGCACGUGGCUCAUCGGCCUCUCUGUGUUCCUGUCGGUUAUGCUGGCGCUCGUCAUAUCUCUCUGCCUCGCCCAGAGGAGCCGGUAUGAACGCCAGCUAAAAGCAGCGACUGCGACUGCUUUCGGUUCUCGGGACUCGGCGUUAAACCGCAUGGAUGUGCCAAACACAAACCAGCACUCAGUCGAAGGGUCGAACCCGAUUUGGAUGCACUCGUACGACAACGAAUGGUAUAAAGAAGACGAAGAGACAAGAGCGGCGGACCGCAACUCAUUGGAUGAAAACGCGGUGGCCGAGCCGUCGGGAAGCACGUCCUCUUCGACGGACACGCACCGGCAAACGCAGGACCGCGAGUUCGACUCUGCGCAGCUGUGUUCCGAGGUGUACGUUCUGUCCAACGGCACGGUGCAGAAUAUCAGCAUACCCGUGGGCGGCUCGACCGACUUGCUGUGCCCUGAAGUGGCGGAGCGCAACAACCUCAACAGGAACAACAAGAACGGCGGCUGCCCUUACGCCAGCGUCUUCCUCACCAAAAUGGGGACGCCAAACAGGGCCGGGAAGCUCGAGGUCUCUGAGCUGUGAGCGGGUACGCUUCUCUGGACACACCAAGAACGGAGGAGCUCUGGUGGCGGUUUCAGGAAAGGGAAGCACUUCUUCCGGAAACGACAGCUCAAACAGCAGGCGGGAGGAACCCAAGCAACCCUUGACGGAACAGGCUCCAACGAACUUCGGAAUGGCAGCUCCACGCGCAGCGAUCUUCCAAUCCAAGUUUGAGCUUUCUUGGUUGAGCGGCGAGAAAGGAAACUCUGAUGCUGGGUUCCCCCGUGGGUGUGUCACCUUCAAGUUGAAAGCUGCAAUGCUUUCCUACUUUCCUGCUUUUGGAAGUGAAGGCAUAAACAUGUGCUUGCAACAGCGAAAAAAAAAAAAAAGAUUUCUAAUUUCUAAUUACGGCCACAGCACUGUAACAGAAGGGCGUCACAGCAGCUGCCAAGUCUUCAUUUGGUUGCACCACGCAGGCUGUCGUCACAAGGCGUGCGCAACGUAGACCACGGCCCAUGUAUUGACUGACAACAAGUAUGGUACGAGACCAGCCUUUAACCUCGGACGCCAUUCUCCACGUGUCGUUCCAAGGUUUCGGGGUUCAGUGGACAGUACCGAAAGGACUGUGCGCCGAUGGGGCCUCAGGCCAAAGACUACUGAUGUCAGUGAUGGAUGGUGCAAGUGCGAAUUGCUGUGCCCAGAGUGACGAUGUGUGAAUCGGUGUGUUAAACGUAGCACUUUCCACUUAUCCUGAUUUCAGCUGUGCCUAAAUAUAAUAAGUAGACUGGAUGCAAGCGGUGCCCGCAACCUGAGGACUACUUCGACUUGGCCGUAUCAGAAUUCUUUGACCGGCCAAUGCCCAAAAUGUGCUAAUCUGGCAGUCGCUUUCGUUUAGAGGCUGGUGUAUGAGGGUUCUUCUGUCGGCCUUUUUUUUUCUUUUUUUUGUUUCAAAAUUUUGCAGCUUGUAAAACGCUAAAAGCAAGUUCGGCUUCCCUGCAAUUUCAAAGCAUUUCGUUAGCCUCUUUCAGUCUCCCAAGAGCAGGCUAGCCUACAUUGGCCGACUAAAAAUUUAUCUGCGAGCCGUCUUUUCUAUCGCUGCCACUGUAUGGAACUCAAUGCAAUCCUCAUGAUUUAAAAAAAAAUUGUUCGUUAGUUCCGACUCUUAGGAGUAAUUAUUCCUUGGCGAGCGCAAAGAAU